AAUCAACGCUGGCGGCGUGCCUCAGACAUGCAAGUCGAACGAUUAAAGCUCUCUUCGGAGAGUGCAUAGAGUGGCGCACGGGUGAGUAACACGUAAGUAAUCUACCCUCGAGUGGGGAAUAACAGUCGGAAACGACUGCUAAUACCGCAUAAUGCAGCGGCACCGCAAGGUGACAGUUGUUAAAGGAGCAAUCCGCUUGAGGAGGAGCUUGCGGCAGAUUAGCUAGUUGGUAAGGUAAUGGCUUACCAGGGCUACGAUCUGUAUCCGGUCUAAGAGGACGGUCGGACACACUGACACUGAAUAACGGGUCAGACUCCUACGGGAGGCAGCAGUCGGGAAUUUUGGGCAAUGGGCGAAAGCCUGACCCAGCAACGCCGCGUGAAGGAUGAAGUAUUUCGGUAUGUAAACUUCGAAAGAAUGGGAAGAAUAAAUGACGGUACCAUUUAUAAGCUCCGGCUAACUACGUGCCAGCCGCCGCAGUAAGAC
rnacentral:rRNA from 1 species